rnacentral:rRNA from 1 species
AAAGGAAUUUUGGAAAAGAGAAUUAAAAGAGGUUUGCAUUUGCUUGGCAUAAAACAAAUUAAUGUUGUCAUGGCCAAAAGAUUGUUGCAUUUCUGGGUGUGUGCCAACAUUGCUCAGCAAGUGUAAUGCUUCUUUCCCCCCACAAAGCUGUUGCAUUCAUGGAUCAUUCUUGUUUGGUGCUGGCAAUAUGUGUUGCAUAGUGGUGCUCUGUUUGCAUUUCUGAUUUCUGAUGUUAUGCGCACGCCUUUUGAAGCUGGACAGACAUGGCUGGGUGGUUUGUGUAUCUUCUUGGAGGAGUGGCUUGUGUGCUGACAAAGAAGGUUGCUUGACCCGUCUUGAAACACGGACCAAGGAGUCUAACAGACGUGCAAAAGAAUGAUUUAAAAUGUGGCAAAACUGAAAGGAAGAGUUAGCAUGUGUGCUCCAACGGCCAAAUGCUUGGUAGACACGCAUUUGAAUUUGAGCAUGUUUGUUAGGACCCGAAAGAUGGUGAACUAUGCUUGAUCAGAAUGAAUUCAGAGGAAACUCUGACGGAAGUUCGUAUCGAUACUGACGUG